UUUAAGUGUUGUUGUGAGUUUCUGUGCCUAAUAUUUGACUGUCCGUCUUAUUUACAAUUUUUUUAUGAUUAGUUUUUUAUGUGUGACUUGUUUUUAAUUUUUUUUUAUAAACUUUUUAAAUAAGAUGAAUAGUCAAACGUUUGAUACAGAAAUCUAUAAUUGCACUUAAA
rfam:Oryza punctata chromosome 9, whole genome shotgun sequence.